CCUACGGGUGGCUGCAGUGGGGAAUAUUGGACAAUGGGGGCAACCCUGAUCCAGCCAUGCCGCGUGUGUGAAGAAGGCCCUCGGGUUGUAAAGCACUUUCAGUGAGGAAGAACGCCUGGUGGUUAAUACCCAUCAGGAAAGACAUCACUCACAGAAGAAGCACCGGCUAACUCCGUGCCAGCAGCCGCGGUAAUACGGAGGGUGCGAGCGUUAAUCGGAAUUACUGGGCGUAAGCGCGCGUAGGUGGCUUGAUAAGCCGGUUGUGAAAGCCCCGGGCUCAACCUGGGAACGGCAUCCGGAACUGUCAAGCUAGAGUGCAGGAGAGGAAGGUAGAAUUCCCGGUGUAGCGGUGAAAUGCGUAGAGAUCGGGAGGAAUACCAGUGGCGAAGGCGGCCUUCUGGACUGACACUGACACUGAGGUGCGAAAGCGUGGGUAGCAAACAGGAUUAGAUACCCGGGUAGUC
rnacentral:rRNA from 1 species